GACGAACGCUGGCGGCGUGCCUAAUACAUGCAAGUAGAACGCACAGUUUAUACCGUAGCUUGCUACACCAUAGACUGUGAGUUGCGAACGGGUGAGUAACGCGUAGGUAACCUGCCUGGUAGCGGGGGAUAACUAUUGGAAACGAUAGCUAAUACCGCAUAAUAUUAAUUAUUGCAUGAUAAUUGAUUAAAAGGUGCAAUUGCACCACUACCAGAUGGACCUGCGUUGUAUUAGCUAGUAGGUGAGGUAACGGCUCACCUAGGCGACGAUACAUAGCCGACCUGAGAGGGUGAUCGGCCACACUGGGACUGAGACACGGCCCAGACUCCUACGGGAGGCAGCAGUAGGGAAUCUUCGGCAAUGGACGAAAGUCUGACCGAGCAACGCCGCGUGAGUGAAGAAGGUUUUCGGAUCGUAAAGCUCUGUUGUAAGAGAAGAACGGGUGUGAGAGUGGAAAGUUCACA
rnacentral:rRNA from 1 species